GCCUACAUGAAGUCGGAAUCGCUAGUAAUCGCGGAUCAGCAUGCCGCGGUGAAUACGUUCCCGGGCCUUGUACACACCGCCCGUCACACCACGAGAGUUUGUAACACCCGAAGUCGGUGAGGUAACCUUUUAGGAGCCAGCCGCCUAAGGUGGGAUAGAUGAUUGGGGUGAAGUCGUAACAAGGUAGCCGUAUCGGAAGGUGCGGCUGGAUCACCUCCUUUCUAAGGA
rnacentral:rRNA from 1 species